rnacentral:rRNA from 1 species
AUUGAACGCUGGCGGAAUGCUUUACACAUGCAAGUCGAACGGUAGAGGGGGCAACCCCUCGAGAGUGGCGAACGGGUGAGUAAUAUAUCGGAACGUGCCCAGUCGUGGGGGAUAACGUAGCGAAAGUUACGCUAAUACCGCAUACGAUCUAAGGAUGAAAGCGGGGGAUCGCAAGACCUCGCGCGAUUGGAGCGGCCGAUAUCAGAUUAGGUAGUUGGUGGGGUAAAGGCUCACCAAGCCAACGAUCUGUAGCUGGUCUGAGAGGACGACCAGCCACACUGGAACAGAGACACGGUCCAGACUCCGCAGGGAGGCAGCAGUGGGGAAUUUUGGACAAUGGACGCAAGUCUGAUCCAGCCAUUCCGCGUGCAGGAUGAAGGCCCUCGGGUUGUAAACUGCUUUUGUACGGAACGAAAAGGUCUCUCUUAAUACGGGGGGCUCAUGACGGUACCGUAAGAAUAAGCACCGGCUAACUACGUGCCAGCCGCCGCAGUAA